rnacentral:rRNA from 1 species
UCCUGGCCGUAAACUAUGCGUGCUAAGUGUUGGUAUGGCUAUGAGCCAUAUCAGUGCCGUAAGGAAACCGUUAAGCGCGCCGCCUGGGGAGUACGAUCGCAAGACUGAAACUUAAAGGAAUUGGCGGGGGAGCACCACAAGGGGUGAAGCCUGCGGUUCAAUUGGACAACGCCGGAAACCUUACCGGGGGCGCCAGCAGAAUGAAGGUCAGGCUGACGACCUUACCAGACAGG